GAUGAACGCUGGCGGCGUGCUUAACACAUGCAAGUCGAACGGGAUCCAAGGGGUGCUUGCACUUUUUGGUGAGAGUGGCGAACGGGUGAGUAACACGUGAGUAACCUGUCCUUUUCUUUGGGAUAAGCAUUCGAAAGGGUGUUUAAUACCUUAUGUUCUGUCUGCCUCGCAUGGGGUGGGUGGGAAAGGCUUUGGCCGGAUUUGAGUGGGCUCGCGGUCUAUCAGCUUGUUGGUGGGGUGAUGGCUUACCAAGGCUUUGACGGGUAGCCGGCCUGAGAGGGUGGUCGGUCACAUUGGGACUGAGAUACGGCCCAGACUCCUGCGGGAGGCAGCAGUGGGGGAUAUUGCACAAUGGGCGAAAGCCUGAUGCAGCGACGCCGCGUGGGGGAUGAAGGCCUGCGGGUUGUAAACUUCUUUUGCUCUGAACAAGGCAUGCCAGUGGGUGUGUUGAGUGUAGGGGUGGAUUAGCGCCGGCUAACUACGUG
rnacentral:rRNA from 1 species